UCAGGGUUCCCCUGUUAGCCACACACAGCAACAAAGACGACCACACAGCUUAAGUAUCGAGUCAUAAAGCACCAUAAAAUAACCAUAAAAUAUGUAUUUUUGAUUAUUGUCCUAGGUGGUUGACCAGUAUUUUAGACCUAGUUAGUGUCGGCUUGGCAACAUAGGAACUAUUCUUCUUCACGAGGCUAGAGUGCCAUUCAAAUGCUUUACAUGUUAGCAUCCUACUUUCAAAUGGCAACAGAUUGCUUCUUUAGUGAACCAAUCAAAGCUUAUCUGUGCGCAUUCAAGGGGCACUCACAGUCAUGUUUUUAUUCAAAAUAAAAGACGGCACGCUGAUGAGACGCUUAUAAUUAAAUGUGUGAUCUUUUAAUUGCGCGGCUCCGUUUAUUAAUAAUCAAUUCACUAACCUUUGCAUGUCGGUACAUGCAUCAUCUUGUUCACACUGACAGUCUGCGCUAAUCAUCACGGUUUGUAUUCCUGUUUUGUUUGUUGAUGUUAGGAGGUGCUACACACACCAGUCAAACAAGCCCCUUAGAAAUGUUACGAAUACAUAGAUAUUGCUUCUUUUUUUUUGUCUCCUAUGUGUGCGCCAAGUAUUUAUGUGCAUCAAGCCGAACAGAUGCUGCCCGAUGGCGCACAAAGAGCAGCAAUAGCAUCAAAUGGUGAACUACAGGACUGAAAGAGAGCAAAAGCCUAUGUUUCAGGCAGAAGGCGGAAGCAAAACAUACAAAUGGCAACGCAAGCUGUGAAAAUUAGCCAGCGAGAGGAGAACAAUGAGCUAAUCAGGGGAGGAAACUGCUGCUUGCGUCAGUUGAGGAAGUGCGUAACGUCGGGAAAAUAUAAAGGUUUCUGUUUUGGGUACGAGUCACAAUGAUUCACAAUUAUUCACCUGCUUCACGCACACUCGACUCUCUGAGCUUUUGACCAUUGAGAAACCCUCCAAAUCUUCAGGCCAAGAUUGGAGUGCAAUAAUGACCGGACUGGGACUACCCACAGCGCUGAUUAUUUGUUCUUAUUGUCGCUAAGUCAUGAUGACCCAUAUUUGUAGAACAAUAGAAAGAAUGUACGUGUAUUGUUUAAAAUUAGCCUUUGAAAACAUGUGCAGUGAACCCCCAUUUACUGCACAGGAUAUGUUCUCGCAAUAGGUUACAAUCCUGAAAUAUAGUUUUAUUACCCCUCCCCCAAAUGCUUUAAACAUGUUUAAAAGUAUUGAAACAGAUUU